rnacentral:tRNA from 2 species
UGUGAGGUGGUCGAUUUAAGUCGGUAGAUUGUAAAUCUAUGAAUAAGUAUAUGCUUUCUCAUAA